UACGUAGGGGGCAAGCGUUGUCCGGAAUCAUUGGGCGUAAAGAGCGUGUAGGCGGCUUGGUAAGUCCGCUGUGAAAGUCCAGGGCUCAACCCUGGAAAGCCGGUGGAAACUGUCAAGCUUGAGUCCGGAAGAGGCGAGUGGAAUUCCUGGUGUAGCGGUGAAAUGCGUAGAUAUCGGAAGGAACACCUGUGGCGAAAGCGGCUCACUGGACCAUUACUGACGCUGAUGCACGAAAGCUAGGGGAGCAAACAGG
rnacentral:rRNA from 1 species